AUUGAACGCUGGCGGCAGGCUUAACACAUGCAAGUCGAGCGGGGAAGGGUAGCUUGCUACCUGACCUAGCGGCGGACGGGUGAGUAAUGCUUAGGAAUCUGCCUAUUAGUGGGGGACAACAUUCCGAAAGGAAUGCUAAUACCGCAUACGCCCUACGGGGGAAAGCAGGGGAUCUUCGGACCUUGCGCUAAUAGAUGAGCCUAAGUCAGAUUAGCUAGUUGGUGGGGUAAAGGCCUACCAAGGCGACGAUCUGUAGCGGGUCUGAGAGGAUGGUCCGACACACUGGGACUGAGACACGGCCCAGACUCCUACGGGAGGCAGCAGUGGGGAAUAUUGGACAAUGGGCGAAAGCCUGAUCCAGCCAUGCCGCGUGUGUGAAGAAGGCCUUUUGGUUGUAAAGCACUUUAAGCGAGGAGGAGGCUACCGAGAUUAAUACUCUUGGAUAGUGGACGUUACUCGCAGAAUAAGCACCGGCUAACUCUGUGCCAGCAGCCGCCGCAG
rnacentral:rRNA from 1 species